rnacentral:pre_miRNA from 1 species
GUGUAUUCUCAGCUUUGAGAACUGAAUUCCAUGGGUUGUAAUUGAAUCUGCUGUCAGACCCGUGGGGCUCAGUUCUUCAGCUUGGAUAUUUCUG